GUGCUCGCUUCAGCAGCACAAAUACUAAAAUUGGAAUGAUACAAAGAUGAGCAUGGUAACUGUGCAAGGAUAACACGCAAAUUUGUGAAUGUUCCAUAUUUUU
ensembl:snRNA U6 U6 spliceosomal RNA